AUUCACUGUGGCUGUAAACUGGUUUUCCCUGAUGACUAAUAAUGGAAGAUAUUAUUAACUCCUGGCCAUUAGUGUAUCUUAUUUUGUAGAGUACUCAUUCACAUCUUUUUGCCCAUUUAAAAAAUGGAAUUAACACCUUGCCAUUGAAUCAUAAGACCUCUUUAUCAUCCUUGUCAGAGACACAGAUUACAUCCAUUUUCUCCCAUACCACGGCCUGCCUUUUCUUAACUGUACUCUCAAACAGCAACAUUUUAAAUUUCGAUAAAAUCCACUUUAGCACUCAUGUAUUUUAUGGUCUGUGCUUUUUGCACUGUAUUUAGAAAAUCUUUUCAUACCCCAAAGUCACAAAUAUUUUCUCUUAUUUUUCUUCCAGAAGCUUUAUAGUUUUAACUCUUACUUUUAGGCCCCUGAUCCACUUUGAGUUAUUUUUUGCAUAGGAUAUUAAAGUAAGGGCUAGUGUUCAUCUUCUUCCAUACAGAAAUUCAGUUGGUCCUGCACCAUUUUUUGAAAAGACUUUCCUUUUCCCAUUGAAUUGCCUUGACACUGCUGCUGAAAAUCAGCUGUCUAUGCGCUUGGAUCUGCAUGUGUGUGGGUUUGUUUCUGGACUAUUCUGUCUCAUUUAUUCAUAUAUCUGUUCUUUUUGUAUCACCGUAACUUUACGGUACUACAAGCAAGUCAAAUUCUCUCAUUUUGUGGUUCUUUUAAAAACUGUUUUUUAAAACAGCCUAUUCUAGUUCUCUCGCAUUUCUAUGCACAUUUUAGACUGGACUUGUCAAUUUCAGCAACAAAAAUAAAGCAGAAAACUUUACUGAAAUUUUAUUAAAUCUAUAGAUCAUUUUUUAAGUUAGGCUGAGCCAGGUUGUGGCAUGUGGGAUCUUUAGUUGCAGCAUGUGAACCCUCAGUUGUAGCCUGUUGGGUCUAGCUCCAUUUCUUUGCCGAAACUUCUCUAUCUGUUCAUUUAUUUUUCCUUUAAUUCUGAUCAUAUUUUGCUGUAACACUUUGGUCAUUUGUAUAACAGCUGCUUUGAAGUCUUGGUCUAAAAAAUCCAACAUGUGUACCCUCUAAGACACUCAGAAUCAGUUUCUAUUGAGGGGUUUUUUUGUUUUUUUCCUGAGUAUGAGUUACACUUUCCUGAUUCUAUGUCUAGUAAUUGCAGGUUGAAAACUAGACAUUGUAUAUAAGGUGUUGUGGCAACUUUGAACUCUGCUGUGUCCUUCUAAGGAUUUUUUUUUUCUAACUGUAGUGGGCAGUUAACUUGCCUAGAUUCAAACUACAAGUUGGUCUUUCCUGAGUAUGCAGCAGCUGAUACAUUCGCUCAGUUCUUACAGCUUCUAGCUACUACUUUUUUAGACUGGCUCCUGGGGGCUCCCCUGCACCUGUGUAAUUUGGCGGAUAGCCAAAGAUCUGGGAUGCUUAUACUCAGAUUAAGGGCUCUCACUUUCUGGGAUUUUUGUUUUUAUAGUUUCCCUCUAAUUUUCCAGCUGUUCUGCCAGUCUCAAGGUCUGUCUUCUGACACUCCAAGCCAGUAAGGCUCCAGCUUUCUCCGGCAUCAACUAUGUACAGAUUAGGAAUUAACUCGGUUAAAAAAAAAAAAAGGCAUCAAAUUUACAGAUCUUAGCUAGUACAGGUUUAUCGUUCAAGGAUUAGUUUCUCUCUGGCUGCUCCCUGUUUGUUGUUUUUUCUGGGUCCCUUGGGUCACUCCUGCACAUUUAGCGUUUAACAGUUUUAAUGGUUAAUUUCACAUGUCAACUUGGCUGGGUUAGGGGGUGUCCAAAUAGAUGGUGAAACGUUAUUUCUGGGUGUGUCUGAGGGUGUUUCUGGAAGAGAGGAGCAUUUAAAUUGGUGAACUGAGUAAAGCAGGUGGCCCUCCCCAGUGUGGGUGGUUAUUAUUCAAUCCACUGAGGGCCUUAAAUAGAACAGAAAGGUGGGAGAAGGGCAAAUUUGUUCUUUCUCUUUGCUUGAGCUGAAACAUCCAUCUUCUCCAGCUACUGGACUUCGGCAUCCCUGGGUUUUGGGUUCUUAGACUCAAUCUGGGAUUUGUACCAUCAGCCUUCUAAUUCUCAGCCCUCUGGACUGAGACUGAAUUACACCACCAGCUUCCCUGGGUCUCCAACUGCAGGCUGCAGAUGGCGGGUCUUCUCCACUUCCCUAAUCAUGUGGUACCAUGUGACCUGUUGACGCAAGGGAGCAGAGUGGUCGCUGGCCUGACCAGAUCCGGUCCAGCUGAGGACACAGUGACGGCACCGUGAUGAAAUGACCACACAUGCUCCGCUGCUCAGCUCGGCAGCUGCUCCAGGAUGUUUGCCCAGCACAAGCCUGGCCCAGGCAGCGUGGGAGGAAGGAAUACGCCACCCGACGAAGGUGGAAACGCCGCAGAUCAUGUCACUUCCAGACAGCAAAAGGUUUUAAGUAAUCCACACAGCGUCCCCGGAAGCCAGCAGUCCAUUACAAGUGGAGUUUAACUGAUAAGGAAAGAAUUAACAGUGGCCUUCCACCGAUGUUCAAAGGACAGCCCUACACUGGUCAGUAUUUCUGUAACUCUUUUAAUCGAUGACCUGGAUAACGACAUAAAAGAGGUGCUUAUUAACCUGCAGAUGGCACAAAGCAAGAAGCUGCUGGUGCAAGAAGCAAGAACCAGGCCAUCCUGACGGGCCAGAUGACAGGCUGAACAAUGAACUAUAAUAAGUAUAUUAAAAGUUUUACAUUUCAGCUAAAAAUGUUAAUAACAAGGGUAUAAGAAGGGUGAUGGCUUGCUUGGCAGCAAAACAUAUGAAAAAUCCUGGGAAUAAGUCCAAGAGUAUAUCAUGAAUUUAACAUAAGGCAUUUCAAAUCAGUGGGAGAAAAUGAAUCAUCUAAUAAACGGUGUUGGAGUAACUGGGUACCUCACUGAAAAACAAAUAAAUUUGAAACUCCACCUCACAUUUUAUAUCAAAAUAAACUCCAGAAGGAACCAAAGAUUUAAACAUUAAAAACAAAUCCAUUAAAGUACAAGAAGAAAGUAUGCAGAAAAUACUUUUAAGAUAACCUCAAAGUGAGUGAGGUCUUUCUAAGCGGGAACAAAAUCCAAAGGAUAUAAAAUCCAGAGGCUGUUUUUAAAAUGUUGAUACAUUUUAUUACUGUAAGAAAAAAAAGAUCAGAACUUCCCUGGCAGGCCAGUGGUUAAGACUUAGCACUUCCAGUGCAGGGGGUACAGGUUUG